rnacentral:rRNA from 1 species
ACUCCUACGGGAGGCAGCAGUGGGGAAUAUUGCACAAUGGGCGCAAGCCUGAUGCAGCCAUGCCGCGUGUAUGAAGAAGGCCUUCGGGUUGUAAAGUACUUUCAGCAGUGAGGAAGGUGGAUAUGUUAAUAGCAUAUUCAUUUGACGUUAGCUGCAGAAGAAGCACCGGCUAACUCCGUGCCAGCAGCCGCGGUAAUACGGAGGGUGCGAGCGUUAAUCGGAAUUACUGGGCGUAAAGCGCAUGCAGGUGGUUUGUUAAGUCAGAUGUGAAAGCCCGGGGCUCAACCUCGGAAUUGCAUUUGAAACUGGCAAACUAGAGUACUGUAGAGGGGGGUAGAAUUUCAGGUGUAGCGGUGAAAUGCGUAGAGAUCUGAAGGAAUACCGGUGGCGAAGGCGGCCCCCUGGACAGAUACUGACACUCAGAUGCGAAAGCGUGGGGAGCAAACAGGAUUAGAUACCCUGGUGGGCGUAG